rnacentral:rRNA from 1 species
AUUGAACGCUGGCGGCAGGCUUAACACAUGCAAGUCGAGCGGGGUGAUGGUGCUUGCACUAUCACUUAGCGGCGGACGGGUGAGUAAUGCUUAGGAAUCUGCCUAUUAGUGGGGGACAACAUCUCGAAAGGGAUGCUAAUACCGCAUACGUCCUACGGGAGAAAGCAGGGGAUCACUUGUGACCUUGCGCUAAUAGAUGAGCCUAAGUCGGAUUAGCUAGUUGGUGGGGUGAAGGCCUACCAAGGCGACGAUCUGUAGCGGGUCUGAGAGGAUGAUCGGCCACACUGGGACGGAGACACGGGCCAGAAUCCUACGGGAGGCAGCAGUGGGGAAUAUUGGACAAUGGGGGGAACCCUGAUCCAGCCAUGCCGCGUGUGUGAAGAAGGCCUUAUGGUUGUAAAGCACUUUAAGCGAGGAGGAGGCUCUUUUGGUUAAUACCCAAGAUGAGUGGACGUUACUCGCAGAAUAAGCACCGGCUAACUCUGUGCCAGCCGCCGCCGUAA